rnacentral:rRNA from 1 species
GAUGAACGCUGGCGGCGUGCCUAAUACAUGCAAGUCGAACGGGAACCAUCCUUCGGGGUGGUGAGAGUGGCGGACGGGUGAGUAACACGUAGCUGACCUGCCGUAUGCUGGAGGAUAACACCGGGAAACCGGUGCUAAGACUGCGUAAGCUCAGAGGGGUUAGAGGCUCCUUGAGGAGAACGAUGAGUGGCAUACGAGGGGGCUGCGGGCCAUCAGGUAGUUGGUGGGGUAAGAGCCUACCAAGCCAACGACGGCUAGGGGACCUGAGAGGGUGACCCCCCACACUGGAACUGAGACACGGUCCAGACUCCUACGGGAGGCAGCAGUAAGGGAUAUUGCACAAUGGGCGCAAGCCUGAUGCAGCAACGCCGCGUGCAGGAAGAAGGGCUUCGGCUCGUAAACUGCUUUUCUGCGGGAAGAGGAUGACGGUACCGCAGGAAGAAGUCUCGGCUAACUACGUGCCAGCAGCCGCGGUAAAACGUAGGAGGCAAGCGUUAUCC